rnacentral:rRNA from 1 species
AGUGAACGCUGGCGGUAGGCCUAACACAUGCAAGUCGAACGGCGGCACAUUAAGAGCUUGCUCUUACGGGUGGCGAGUGGCGGACGGGUGAGGAAUACAUCGGAAUCUACUUUUUCGUGGGGGAUAACGUAGGGAAACUUACGCUAAUACCGCAUACGACCUACGGGUGAAAGCAGGGGAUCUUCGGACCUUGCGCGAUUGAAUGAGCCGAUGUCGGAUUAGCUAGUUGGCGGGGUAAAGGCCCACCAAGGCGACGAUCCGUAGCUGGUCUGAGAGGAUGAUCAGCCACACUGGAACUGAGACACGGUCCAGACUCCUACGGGAGGCAGCAGUGGGGAAUAUUGGACAAUGGGCGCAAGCCUGAUCCAGCCAUACCGCGUGGGUGAAGAAGGCCUUCGGGUUGUAAAGCCCUUUUGUUGGGAAAGAAAAGCAGCAGGUUAAUACCCCGCUGUUCUGACGGUACCCAAAGAAUAAGCACCGGCUAACUUCGUG